rnacentral:ribozyme from 1 species
UAGAGGCACUUGAGAUUAUGACCGGCUUCGAGACCAAGAACAAGUACAGCAUCAUGGACAUGUACGGCAGGCAGAUUGCAUUUGCAGCAGAGCAGUCAGACUGCUUUGUCAGGCAGUGCUGUGGCAACUUGAGGCCCUUUUCUAUGCCCAUCCUACUCCCU